UGCCAGCCGCCGCGGUAAUACGGAGGGUGCGAGCGUUAAUCGGAAUUACUGGGCGUAAAGCGCGCGUAGGUGGUUAAUUAAGUCAGAUGUGAAAUCCCAGGGCUCAACCUUGGAACUGCAUUUGAUACUGAUUGACUAGAGUUUUGUAGAGGGUGGUAGAAUUUCAGGUGUAGCGGUGAAAUGCGUAGAGAUCUGAAGGAAUACCAGUGGCGAAGGCGGCCUCCUGGAUCUGUACUGACACUGAGGUGCGAAAGCGUGGGUAGCGAACAGGAUUAGAUA
rnacentral:rRNA from 1 species